UACGGAGAGUGCAAGCGUUGUUCGGAAUUAUUGGGCGUAAAGCGCGUGUAGGCGGUUCAGCAAGUCCGGUGUGAAAGCCCAGGGCUCAACCCUGGAAGUGCACUGGAAACUGCUGAACUUGAGUACCGGAGGGGAAGGUGGAAUUCUCGAGUGUAGAGGUGAAAUUCGUAGAUAUUCGGAAGAACAUCAGUGGCGAAGGCGACCUUCUGGACGGAUACUGACGCUGAGACGCGAAAGCGUGGGUAGCAAACAGG
rnacentral:rRNA from 1 species